GCCCGUAUAGCUCAGUGGUAGAGCGCAGCACUCGUAUUUUCCCGCAGAUUGAAAUGCUGAGGUCCACGGUUCAAUCCCGUGUGGGGGCA